GGGACUUGCCAUAGAUUCAGAUGGUAGAAGCAUCAAGUCACAAUAUCCGGUGCUGAACAAUCACCCAUAGUCAGAGGAAGGUCGGGCCCCACUGUAAUGCAUGUGAUGAGUCACACCAAACUGCCCACAGAGAUGGAGUCAUGCUGGAAGCAAAGGUACAAGUCAGGAAGAGUCUGAUGUCAAUGCCAUGGAAGGUUCUCUCCUGUCAAGUAUGUGACACAGGGAAGACAUCUGCCAGCAUACAUUCCCAGAGUCUGUGGCCCAUGUCUUGACCUACUGAGCCAGGGACAGGAGGACACCAAUGAUGAUGCAAUAUCAGAUGGCAAAUAGGAGAGAGGACUGGUAAACCAAGUAAGGAGACAUGGGCAGAGGCAGCAAAGAGGUUUGGUGCUGGCGACGAGGCUGUAGCUUAAAAAGAGAAAAGGUUGUACCUUCACAGCCACGCUCGAUCUGUCCACUCCGAUGGAGGGCAUCGUUGAUGAGGUCUGGCAGGCGCCCAUUCAAAUCUACUGAGGCCAGACAGCCCUGAAAGCCAUCCCGGGAAGCCACCAACUUUGGAAGGUUGCUGUACAUGCCUUGGGCCAGACCUGCCAUGUAGAGAUCACCUGGAAAGAAAAGCAAGUAGCAAAAGCAAAUUUCGACUGCAAUGAAGUCAUUGCCAUCACCACUAUUGAAGAGAAUGAAGCCAUCUGCUGAGGUGGUCUUGAACUGGAAGAAGAGGUGCAUGGACGUGUAGGCCUGAAGAGUGGCCAGGCUCAGGUCUAUGUAGAGCAGGCCGUUGAACAUGAGGCUCUGCAAGUGGCCAAUGAAACUGGAUGGGACAACGGAGAUGUAACGUUUCUCAGUCAUGAUUCCAGUUUCGAUAUUGUGGAAUUCCAAGCGGCAGAGGGGCCUGAGCACAGCAAGCGUCCCUCACAUCUGAGGAAGGAUUUGCUUUAGAGUCAGAAUUUGGAUCAUCGCCAUUUCUACAUAUAAAGUUCCUAGUCAACACGAAACGCUCAGCAAAGAAAUGAGAAAGACUUAGAGGAGGCAGCUUGACCUUCCUGGGCUCCCAGACAUGGGGAGAGAAGAAAAUGAAGGCUUAUCAAGUCUCAGUAAAGGAUACACAUUUUGCUCACCAUCUUCAGCUCCACCACUUGCAUAUCCUUUUCUCCACAAUGCCAAACAUUUUUAAAAGUAUAUGCUAUAAACUGUUCUAGUAACAGUAAUAAUAAUAAAUGUUCUGGAGCCAAAUUAACUAGGUAAACACUUCACAUGUAAUUACUGAUGAUUAGCAAUGUGUAUUAGCGUGGUAAAGGCUCCUAGUAAGUCUUGCAAUAAAGAAAUCCACUUCAUUUUGUUUAACCUAACAUUUCCCCAUUCUAUUUCAUCAUGUUUUUGUUGUUGUUGUUGUUGUUGUUGUUAAUGUGAGGAAUAGAUUUUCCUUGGAAAAUGACUUUUUACAGCUUGGUGCUAUGUUUGCUGUAUAGGGUAAGUCAUAGAGAAAGAAGUCAACACGAACCAGAGGAGUCAAAAGAGGGAUGAAUCUCUGUACUAGCAAGAAGCUCUGGGUGGAGUGGGUGGUUCAUGCAGCAUUAGAUCCUAAUCCUGAGUAGCAUAACCCAAGUGAAGUAUUCUUUUAAUUUAUUCUUGAUAAUAGAAAUCCAGCUCAGUCAAUCAAUCCAUCAAUCGUUACUGUCAACUGAACUUAAUACUUUUCCAGGAAUACAUUGUGUUACAAUAAAUGAAAACCACCAGGCUAAGCAAUAUUUCUUCCCUUGCUUUUGAUUUCUUAUGAGUGUGACCUAUUCUUUGCAUCAUUUCUACAAACUAGCUGAAAACUUGACACCCUAGGGGACCUUAAACAGCAUGAAAGGGAUUACUAAAUAAGCCAAUAAGACACUACUUAAUAACCUGAGGACUGUGUGGUAUUUUAGUUUCAUUGCCUGAUUUUAUGACUUCUGUGAGCUAAAAUUAAAAUUCCCAAACCCAUUAUCACUGUAAGAAGCAAUCCAAGGUUGUAGCUCAUAAGCAAAAUAGCUCUUUUCUUCUCCCAGAUUUCUUUAUCCUUAUGGCUGCUCUUUUCCAUCAGCAGUAAAGUAGGGGAUAAGGUUGAAAAUGAAAGAGCUUCAUUAAUUUCAAAUAUCAAAUUACUGAAUGACUGGGGCCGUCCUCGGUAUAGUCCUGCUUUUUUAAUUAUUAGUGGUUAAGAGAAAGCGCACUUUCUAAUUACCUUUAGUCUAAAGUUUCUAUAAAAGAAUAAUGGCCAAGGGAGGCAAUGCACAUUACUGUAUCCUCAGUUCUGCAGUUCUUUAUGACUACAGCUUUCAGGGCAUGCCAUUUCCUGAGAAAAAUAAAAAGGGUUUCGUGGUCCAGAGAGAUUGGGGUGAGGGCACCAUCUAGUGGCUACCGCUCAAAUCACCGGAAUAGCAUCACUGGGCUGCAGGGCUCUGCCCAGAGGAGCUAGCAAAGCGAUUUGCGACUUGUCACUGCGGCCGUGCAGGCUCCAGCGUGCAUUAACAGCCUACGGGGAUUUAUUGAAUAAUUAAUUCAGGAUAGCUGUGGGUUCUAAACCAUGUAACUAUCUUUACAGCUCUUUGCUUACAUCUGUUACCUAAAGCUAUGUUACCCUUCAGGCAUGUAGAACAGUAACCUUACCUCCCGCCGAUGAAGGUGUCUAUAUACAUACAACUGGAGGGUUUGGGGUACUUAUACUUAAGGCUCUGUUUGACUUCAUUUUUAAGGAGAGAGGGGUGAGUGUUGUAGUCUACACUAAAGAGGAUUCCUCACGUCACUCUAAUGCAUUCCAUUGUAUUUUUCCCAUAUCGUAAUACAAAUCAUUUUCUUAGGAUGGAUUGUGAAGUCCAGCAAGUAGCCUGAUUUGGUGAUGUCACACCAACAUGAAUUUGGGGCUUAAUUACAUAGCUCCUUCUAAGUGUCAUGUCCUCUUAGGUAAAAUGACAAUAACACUUUUCUUGCAAGGCAAUGGGGAAUUGCAGAUUUAAGGAGCUGAUACAUGUAAGGUGACUAUCUCAGUAUCUAAUGCCUACUAGGCACUGGAUAGGUGCCUCCUGCUCUUCCUCUCUCCAUAGACUCUCCUUAUCUCCCUUCUCUCUCUCUCUCUCUCUAACACACACACACACACUCCUACCUGCACACAUAUAUACAUGGCUUGCUAUAAUUCCAGACUCCAGAAUUAUAGAGGUUCAGACUCAUUUAUAGAAAAUUAAAUUACAGAACCCUAAACUGCAGAAACCUUAAGCUAGACAGGGCUUUAGCAGUAAUAGAAUUUAAGUUUAAGAAUGAGGAAAUGAUGAAAAAGGUUUAUCAUUAUCUGUCCCAAUGAUAAAAAGUAUUUAAGUUCCAAUGACUGUAUGAAAUCCCAGGGAUCCUAACUCUAACUUGACUGUCUUAU